rnacentral:rRNA from 1 species
UCCUACGGGAGGCAGCAGUGGGGAAUAUUGCACAAUGGGCGCAAGCCUGAUGCAGCCAUGCCGCGUGUGUGAAGAAGGCCUUCGGGUUGUAAAGCACUUUCAGUCGUGAGGAAGGUAGUGUAGUUAAUAGCUGGAUCAUUUGACGUUAGCGACAGAAGAAGCACCGGCUAACUCCGUGCCAGCAGCCGCGGUAAUACGGAGGGUGCGAGCGUUAAUCGGAAUUACUGGGCGUAAAGCGCAUGCAGGUGGUUUGUUAAGUCAGAUGUGAAAGCCCGGGGCUCAACCGGGGAGGGUCAUUGGAAACUGGGAAACUUGAGUGCAGAAGAGGAGAGUGGAAUUCCACGUGUAGCGGUGAAAUGCGUAGAGAUGUGGAGGAAUACCAGUGGCGAAGGCGACUUUCUGGUCUGUAACUGACACUGAGGCGCGAAAGCGUGGGGAGCAAACAGGAUUAGAUACCCUGGUAGUCCACGCCGUAAACGAUGAGUGCUAAGUGUUAGAGGGUUUCCGCCCUUUAGUGCUGAAGUUAACGCAUUAAGCACUCCGCCUGGGGAGUACGGCCGCAAGGCUGAAACUCAAAGGAAUUGACGGA